rnacentral:rRNA from 1 species
AGAACGAACGCUGGCGGCAGGCUUAACACAUGCAAGUCGAACGCUCGUAGCAAUACGGGAGUGGCAGACGGGUGAGUAACGCGUGGGAACGUACCCUUCGGUUCGGAAUAACCCGGGGAAACUCGGGCUAAUACCGGAUACGUCCGCAAGGAGAAAGAUUUAUCGCCGAAGGAUCGGCCCGCGUCGGAUUAGCUAGUUGGUGGGGUAAUGGCCCACCAAGGCGACGAUCCGUAGCUGGUCUGAGAGGAUGAUCAGCCACACUGGGACUGAGACACGGCCCAGACUCCUACGGGAGGCAGCAGUGGGGAAUAUUGGACAAUGGGCGAAAGCCUGAUCCAGCCAUGCCGCGUGAGUGAAGAAGGCCUUAGGGUUGUAAAGCUCUUUCAGCGGGAAGAUAAUGACGGUACCCGCAGAAGAAGCCCCGGCUAACUUCGCGCCAGCAGCCGC